GAUGAACGCUGGCGGCGUGCUUAACACAUGCAAGUCGAACGAAGCACUCUAUUUGAUUUUCUUCGGGAAUGAUUAUUUUGUGACUGAGUGGCGGACGGGUGAGUAACGCGUGGGUAACCUGCCUCAUACAGGGGGGAUAACAGUUGGAAACGGCUGCUAAUACCGCAUAAGCGCACGGUACCGCAUGGUACAGUGUGAAAAACUCCGGUGGUAUGAGAUGGACCCGCGUCUGAUUAGCUAGUUGGCAGGGCAACGGCCUACCAAGGCGACGAUCAGUAGCCGACCUGAGAGGGUGACCGGCACAUUGGGACUGAGACACGGGCCCAAAACUCCUACGGGAGGCAGCAGUGGGGAAUAUUGCACAAUGGGGGAAACCCUGAUGCAGCGACGCCGCGUGAGCGAAGAAGUAUUUCGGAUGUAAAGCUCUAUCAGCAGGGANAGAAAUGACGGUACCUGACUAAGAGCACGGCUAAA
rnacentral:rRNA from 1 species